UUCCAGACUCCUACGGGAGGCAGCAGUGGGGGAUAUUGCACAAUGGGGGAAACCCUGAUGCAGCGACGCCGCGUGUGGGAAGACGGUCCUCUGGAUUGUAAACCACUGUCCCCAGGGACGAAGAUGACGGUACCUGGGGAGGAAGCUCCGGCUAACUACGUGCCAGCAGCCGCGGUAAUACGUAGGUGGCAAGCGUUGUCCGGAUUUACUGGGUGUAAAGGGCGUGCAGCCGGAGAGACAAGUCAGAUGUGAAAUCCACGGGCUCAACCCGUGAACUGCAUUUGAAACUGUUUCCCUUGAGUGUCGGAGAGGUAAUCGGAAUUCCUUGUGUAGCGGUGAAAUGCGUAGAUAUAAGGAAGAACACCAGUGGCGAAGGCGGAUUACUGGACGAUAACUGACGGUGAGGCGCGAAAGCGUGGGGAGCAAACAGGAUUAGAUACCCGCGUACG
rnacentral:rRNA from 1 species